CCCUGAAUAAUUAUAGUUUGGAUGUCAGUCAACCUUUCAAGUUAAAAGGUGUUUGAUUAAAAAAAAAAAAAAAGUCUGGAGGUAUAGUUCAGUGGCACAGCACUUUGCCUAGAGUACACAAGAUAGAUCCUGGGUUCAAUCUCCAGCACAGUAAUGAGAAAAAAUUUAAAAAGUUAAUUAAGCUCAUAAUCCAAACAACUGAACCACUGCUUUUCCUGGAGACAAAAUCAACCUUUGAUAUAAAGCAAAAGUACUUUUUUUUUGUUUGUACUGGGGGUUGAGCCCAGGGGUGCUUUAUCACAGCCACAUCUCCAGCCCUCUUUUUUUUUAAUGUUUCAUUUUAUUAUCCCCUGCUUAUUGGUUACCCUCUUACCCUCUGUCUUACCAGAGACAGAGAUCAUUGUCCUUUUUUUUUAAUGUCUGAUAUAUCUGUCGAGUCUACAACUAUUGUUGGCACUCGAUAUGUUUUUACUAAAUGAAUGGGGCAAGUGAAUGAAGGGCCUAGAAGAGUAGGCUCCAGCCCUUUUUUUGCUUUUUUUGAGACAGAGUCUCACUAAAGUGCUCAGGACCUCAGUAAAUUGCUUUGAAUUUGGGAUUCUCUUGCCUCAGUUUCCCGAGUCACUGGGAUUACAGGUGUGUGCCAAGGCGUCUGAUUAAAGCUAAGUAUUUUACUUGGUACAUUUUUUUAUCUUACCCAAGAGAAUAUUAAAAAGCCAUAUAUUAGCUGGGAGUGGUGCACACACUUGUAAUCCCAGUGGCUCAGGAGGCUGAGAUAGGAGGAUUUUAAGUUUGAGACCAGCCUCAGCAAUUUAGCAAGAUCCCGUC
rnacentral:lncRNA from 1 species